rnacentral:lncRNA from 1 species
AAAGAGUAAUAUUUAAAACCGUCAAUUCAAAUGUUCCGGGGAUAAACACAGUCAUGAACCUCACGAAGUCCUUUGAGCUGGCAGACGGCAAUGGUGUUGGAAGAACAUGUUAGAGGUAGUGGUGGCCGGGAACAUAAGGGAAAGUAACAGUAGCACAUUGAUGAUGAAGGGAGAAUGAGAUGGUGAUAAAGAGAGUGUAGCUGCAUGUGCCGUAGCCAUAGCUAGAGUCUAUAGAUGUUGAUG